rnacentral:tmRNA from 1 species
GCCCUUUUCAUGGCUCGGAUAAUCCCUAUAUCGGGUUUCGCCGGCUUGGCCGGCUAUGGCGAUAAACUGCGGCGUGUAAUAGGCGCAGCGGACCCGGGGGCGGUACCCGGCGGCUCCACCAGAAAUGGCUUUUCCCUUCGUGGAAAGGCCGCUCCUGAUGGGGCCGAACUAGGAUCGACGUGUGCUCAAAAGCGCUGUUUUCGCCCGGGCUGAGUAACCCGUUAAAGGCUCAAAACCUAUAAGUGCCAACGACAACGAAGCACUUGCUCUUGCUGCGUAAUUGAGGGCCUCACGGCCUGACAUUACCCAAAUAGAACGCGGUUGGACCAACCGGGCAACAGAAUGGAUUCCAGCGGCACGGGGAGCGCCGGGCAACAGAAGCUCCCCACC